rnacentral:rRNA from 1 species
CCACCUGAUCCCUUCCCGAACUCAGAAGUGAAACGAUGCAUCGCCGAUGGUAGUGUGGGGUCUCCCCAUGUGAGAGUAGGUCAUCGUCAAGC